rnacentral:tRNA from 1 species
GCCUGGGUGGCCCAGUUGGUUGAGCGUCUGACUUCGGCUCAGGUCAUGAUCUCACAGUUGGUGGGUUCAAGCCCCGCAUCGGGCU